ensembl:rRNA 5S_rRNA 5S ribosomal RNA
UCUUACAACCAUAUCACCCUGCAGCCCAAGACUGGUUACUCACUGAAGAUAAGCAGGGCUGAGCCUGGUCAAUACCUAAAUAGGAGACCACAUGGGAAAACUAGGUAGCUGUUGGAA